UACGGGGGGGGCAAGCGUUGUUCGGAAUUACUGGGCGUAAAGGGCUCGUAGGUUGCCAACUAAGUCAGACGUGAAAUCCCUCGGCUUAACCGGGGAACUGCGUCUGAUACUGGAUGGCUUGAGUUCGGGAGAGGGAUGCGGAGUUCCAGGUGUAGCGGUGAAAUGCGUAGAUAUCUGGAGGAACACCGGUGGCGAAGGCGGCAUCCUGGACCGACACUGACACUGAGGAGCGAAAGCCAGGGGAGCAAACGGG
rnacentral:rRNA from 1 species